UAGGGAAUCUUCGGCAAUGGACGAAAGUCUGACCGAGCAACGCCGCGUGAGUGAAGAAGGUUUUCGGAUCGUAAAACUCUGUUGUUAGAGAAGAACAAGGACGUUAGUAACUGAACGUCCCCUGACGGUAACUAACCAGAAAGCCACGGCUAACUACGUGCCAGCAGCCGCGGUAAUACGUAGGCGGCAAGCGUUGUCCGGAUUUACUGGGCGUAAAGCGAGCGCAGGCGGUUUCUUAAGUCUGAUGUG
rnacentral:rRNA from 1 species